rnacentral:rRNA from 1 species
UACGAAGGGGGCUAGCGUUGCUCGGAAUCACUGGGCGUAAAGGGUGCGUAGGCGGGUCUUUAAGUCAGGGGUGAAAUCCUGGAGCUCAACUCCAGAACUGCCUUUGAUACUGAAGAUCUUGAGUUCGGGAGAGGUGAGUGGAACUGCGAGUGUAGAGGUGAAAUUCGUAGAUAUUCGCAAGAACACCAGUGGCGAAGGCGGCUCACUGGCCCGAUACUGACGCUGAGGGACGAAAGCGUGGGGAGCAAACAGG